GUAUAUAUUAUUUCGGGUCGGGCCCGGCCCGGCCCGGUUUUAAAUAUUAAAAAAAAAAACCUAAAACCCUAAAAAAAAAUCCCAAAUUCUAAAAAAAUCCCUAAAUCUCAGACUCUCACCUUCGACUUCUCUCUCUCCGACGACAGAGCCCAAGCUUUGGAAGAACUCUGCCACGACUGGAGCAGAGGACCCGGCGAUUCGCACUAGCGGCGUGGUCGUGUAUCUCUCUACUGCUCCGCAACACAGGCGUCUUGGGGCUGGGUUUAUGUGCUUUCUCUUGGCGACUCUGAAGACCUCGAGCAUCAUCUUCUUGGUUUUGGCGUUUUGCAAGUGUUUGAAAAGAAUUUGAGUCAAGUGGAACUUUCAAUCUCGAUUCAUCGGAGGUUAAAAUAGAAUGUCUGGUCAAAUUGAUUCUAAUUUUGAGGAUGAUGUUGAUUUUGUGCCAUCAACUACAAAUGAAGUACAAUCUGUUAGCAAUACAAUAGAUGAAACUCAGAAUCAGAGAAAAAGAACUUCUCGUGCAUGGGAUCAUUUCACACGGGAAAAAAUUGAUGGAAAAAUUAAAGCAGUUUGCAAGUAUUGCGAGCGUAAGCUGGUGGGAGAAAGUUCUAGUGGGACUAGGCAUUUAAAUUCUCACGUGAAAACGUGUCCUGUAAGAAAGGCCCAACUUGCCGCCAAUCCUAGUGCAACUGCAAGCCCUUCGGUUUCUUUUAAUUUUGAUCCUGAUUUAGCAAGGACCAAAUUGGCUCAAAUGAUCGUUAAGCACGAAUAUCCCUUGUCUAUGGUUGAGCAUAGCGGGUUUAUAGAAUAUUCAAGCACUUUAUGUCCCAUGUUUCAAAUGGUGUCAAGGAAUACAAUUAGGUCAGACAUUAUGAAAAUGUAUAAAACUGAGAAA